rnacentral:rRNA from 1 species
GGACACACUGGAACUGAAACACGGUCCAGACUCCUACGGGAGGCAGCAGUGGGGAAUUUUGCGCAAUGGGGGAAACCCUGACGCAGCAACGCCGCGUGGAGGAUGAAGUCCCCUGGGACGUAAACUCCUUUCGAUCGGGACGAUAAUGACGGUACCGGAAGAAGAAGCCCCGGCUAACUUCGUGCCAGCAGCCGCGGUAAUACGAGGGGGGCAAGCGUUGUUCGGAAUUAUUGGGCGUAAAGGGUGCGUAGGUGGUUCGGCAAGUCUUGUGUGAAAUCUUCAGGCUCAACUUGAAGUCUGCACAAGAAACUGCCGGGCUUGAGUAUGGGAGAGGUGAGUGGAAUUUCCGGUGUAGCGGUGAAAUGCGUAGAUAUCGGAAGGAACACCUGUGGCGAAAGCGGCUCACUGGACCAUUACUGACACUGAGGCACGAAAGCUAGGGGAGCAAACAGGAUUAGAUACCCUGGUAGUCCUAGCCCUAAACGAUGAUCGCUUGGUGUGGCGGGUAUCCAACCCUGCCGUGCCGUAGCUAACGCGUUAAGCGAUCCGCCUGGGGAGUACGGUCGCAAGGCUGAAACUCAAAGGAAUGACGG